CCAAGUGCAAUAUUCAAACCACAAGCCCUGGCCACCUUACAGACCAGCUCAUUCGUUCCAUGUUUAAUGGAUGAAGUUACCAAGAUUCAGGCAAGGAGGGGAACUCAUGAAAUUCAUACCCAAGUUAGAAGUGUCCACAAUGGAACUGAAGUCUCCAGACCACAGGAGAAAAAGGCCUGCCACGACUGUCUGGAGAAGGUCAUAUCAUCUGGCUCGACAGUAAGGCUGCACGCAUGGAAGUUAGACCUUGAACUCAAAAAGACUUGCUUGCAUUCAAGACCUACAUCUACCCCAGCUCGAGAAUAUAACUAGCUGUAUUAAGAUCAACACAACUGCUAUGGACUGAAUCAUGCCGCCCCCAAAAUUCAGGUGUUGAAUCCUCACCCCCAGAACCUCAGUCUGUGACCAUAUUUGGAAACAGGGCCUUGCAACAGGGAUGCAGAUAAACUGUGGCCACUGGGAUGGGUCCUAAGCUAAUCUGAUGGAGGCAUUUAAAGAGAUCAGGAAACAGGCAUGGAGAGAAGACAGUGAAGAAGACAGAGAAGGAAACAUGGGAGGAUACAGGGAGCAGGCAGCCCUUUGCAAACCAGAGAGAGGCUCCAGAGGAAACCAAGCCUACUGAUGCCUCGAUCUGGACUUUCAGCCCCCAGAUCUAUGACAAAAAAUACAUAUCUGUUGUUUAAGCCACCCAGUCUCUGGUACUUUUUUUAUCAGCCUGGGGUGACUUAAUGAAAUUACAUAAAGUUCAAGUUUUUAAAAAAAAAACUACUUUGUGCUUUGCUUCUUCAGAAAGAAUACUAUGUCAGAAGGUAUUGUUGUAAAUAUUUAUGAUUUGCAUAUGUGAAUAUUAAUGGUUAACUUUCCACAGACACAGGGUGGGGGUCAGGGGCCUGGCCACAGGAGUGAGGGUGUUUCGCCUGUUUCUAUCCUAUGAUGACUGUCUGAUGGGCGCAAGGCUGGGGUGCCAAUGCAAGCCAAACAAUGAUGAUCGCAUUUAAAAGAUUUCUUUCUGGUGUGGGCUGUACCAUGCCGUGGUAUAUUCAUAAAGUUGAAAUUUCUGUAGCCAUUAAAAUGAACAAAUCAUAGCCACAUGGCACAACAUGGCUAAUCUCCCAAACAUAACAGUAAAAAACGCGAGUCACAGAAGACAAACAAUAUGAUUUCAUUCAUAUAAAAUUCACAGACAGGUGGCUCAAGCAUACUGGGAUGCAUACACAGGUCAUAAAAUCAAAAAGGCAAGCAAGAAAGGGAUUCUCCUAAAAGUGAGGAUAGUGGUGACCUGGAAUGAGAAGGAAGAAGUAGUUGUCAGAGA
rnacentral:lncRNA from 1 species